rfam:Felis catus isolate Cinnamon breed Abyssinian chromosome A3, whole genome shotgun sequence.
GCCUGGGUGGCUCAGGCGGUUGGGCGUCUGACUUCGGCUCAGGUCAUGAUCUCGCGGUCCAUGGGUUCGAGCCCCGCAUCAGGCU